rnacentral:rRNA from 1 species
UAAGGAAACUGGGGCUAAUACCGGAUAGGAGCUCCUGCUGCAUGGUGGGGGUUGGAAAGUUUCGGCGGUUGGGGAUGGACUCGCGGCUUAUCAGCUUGUUGGUGGGGUAGUGGCUUACCAAGGCUUUGACGGGUAGCCGGCCUGAGAGGGUGACCGGCCACAUUGGGACUGAGAUACGGCCCAG